ACAAUGCCAUAAAGAUGCUUUAUCCAAGUUAUUAUUAGUAGAAUCAAUACACAAAACAUUAUUUCCCAAGUUAUCUACAACAGAUACAGCUUCAUACACACCAUCACAAGGUAAUGCUUUAAAAUAAAAGACAUUAUUAUAGAAAACAUCUAUAGAACCAACUUCAUUAUUAAAUGAAAAGGUAAACCCUUGUUUGUACAAAGCAUGAAAGGAAAUAAUAUUUCUUGCCAUUCCUGGCGAAUAACAACACUUAUUCAAAUCUAAACUAAACCCACUACUUAGCGAUAAAGUAUAAACUCCAAUCUUGGUAACAGGUAUAGCUUUCCUAUUCCCCAUGAUCAAGUUUAUCCUUCCUUGCUCCACAUCCUCACUUCUUCUUAGUCCCUGCAAGUCACAACAAAUGUGAAUACCACACCCGGUAUCAAGGACCCAAGAAUUAGAAUGGGGUGAGUUAUUAGAAAUGAUAGUGUAAAUACCUGCAUGGUUGGGUUUAACUUUCCCAUCCUUCACAUCUUGCUGGUAUUUUGGGCAGUUCCGCUUCCAAUGAGCUUUUUCAUGGCAAUAGAAGCAUUCAGCCUCUUUUGGGUCAGAAGAAGGAGUAAUGAAACCUUUCUUGGUUCCACUUGAAGAAGAGCCAUCAAGGGUCCGAACCUUGGUACCCUUAGAAGAGCUCUUUCUCUUCCUCCCUCGACUUUUCCCGAUUGCCAAAACCGGAGUAGAGUUUUGAGUAGGAGUGAUAGCAACCGACUUCCCCUUAAGACCUGAUUCUGCGGUCUUGAGAAGUCCCUGAAGUUUGCUGAGGGUGACUUCUUCCUUGUUCAUGUGAUAUGUCAUGCGGAAUUGAUCAUAGCACGAUGGUAAGGAAUGCAAAAUAAUAUCUAUUGCAAGAUCCUCCGGGAAGUUCACAUUAAGCUUCAGCAAACGAUCCACAUACCUUUGCAUUUUCUGCAUGUGGCUCGUGACGGAUUCCCCGUCCUUCAUCAUGGUUGUUAUCAUGGAGCAGAUGAUUUCAUACCUCUCUUGUCUUGCACUUUGAUGGUAUCUUUCCAUCAAAUCUUGGUGCAUUUCAUAAGGGUAGAAAUCCUCAUAAGACUUUUGGAGUUCCGCUGUCAUCGUGGCCAUCAUGAUGCAAGCCACUUUCGUAGCAUCCCUUUCAUGUGCCCGAAAUUCAGCGAUCUCCUGAGGAGUUGCAGUGGACUCAUCAAUCUCCUUAAGCUCCUUGUCAAGGACAUAUUCUUUGUCCUCGUAGCGGGUAAUCAUCCUGAUGUUUCUGAUCCACUCAUUGAAGUUGGAUCCAUCAAAGGUGACUUUCCCACACAAGUUCAUAAGGGUAAAGGAGCCAUUAGGAUUAGAGCCAGAAGCAUUGUUGAAAGACAUCUGAAGGAAAGAGGACAAGAUUAGUUUAGAUAUAAGAGAGUCCUUAAUAAAACACCCAAAUGUAAUAUUAAGGCUAGGAUCCAAUCACAAUAUAAUAUAACUUAGAAGAGGUAUGCCGUAAUCUAAGCUAUAUCAUAUUUGAAAGGUAGGUGAAUGACGAUUCACCAAUUUCCACCACGAAAACCGCAAUAUUUUAGUAUUAGGUUUUUGAAUGGUUCUUAGAAAUUCCUAGAUUCUUUGAGAUUCAAUGAACUUUUCAAAGGCAUGUUUCAAUCUCGAGUGUGCCCUCCAAGUUUUGUGACUGGGAUACCGAGGAUCACAAAACGAGGUGUGAAGUAACCAUGCAAAUCACUUGGUACCCUUAAAGUUUAUCACUCAAUCGAUGUGCCGGUUAACCACACACGCUCCAUCGAUACUAUAAUAAACCCUAAGUCACCCUUUACCUACCUUGUUAAGUCCAAGUUAGUGUGCCGGUUAACCACACACGCUCCACCAACGACUUAAUCAAAGUGUAAAGUGUAAUUUCAUGGAAUAGCACCUUAUUCACAUUUUUCCUAAAGUAACUAAGAUUGGGAAUUUAAUAAAACAUUUAGUUACUUUAUAAUAUUCAUCAUACUUUGAAUGAGAAUUAAUAAGUCCUUGUCUUACCCGUUCGGCUAACGACCCUCCACCGAUCAAGCAAGCGGUGGGUGAGAGUGGACACCCAUUAAGUCACCAUUUUAUAGGCAACAACCUUAUACCCACCUUAUAGACCGGCUUCGUGAAUGAGGCGUACUAGCGGUAAGACGACUUUGUUCUUAUACAUAUAUAUAUAAUUAUUAAAUCAUAAUAAUAUAAGUAUAAGGGUUGAAUUUUAACUUUUAAAAUUCUAGGGGUUGGAACUAAAGUUUUAACUUAACUUUACUUGUUCCAAAACUUGAGGGCAAGUUUUGUAAACUUUCAAAACUUUUCAUUUCUUGUAACUUAUGAGUUUAAUAGAGUAAUAAAAUGAGGACUUUUCAUUUUUCCUAACUCUUGUGUUCUUUUAAUGGUUUUUAAUCCAAGAGACUUUUGGUUUUCCAUAACUUGAGGACAAGUUAUGGACUCCAUUAAAACACAUUAUGAUCAUGAAUUAAUCUACCACAUAGGUUACAAAUAAUUCCUAUGAUCAUCUAAACAUCAUAAGAACAAGAAUAUGAAUAUGAACACUUUCAAGAAUCAAAAUCACAUUUAAUCUUUGUAAUUUUGAUAACUAGUUGUUGUAAAUGAGUUAGAAAAGACAUUACACCUUCUAAAAUAAGUUUUCAAGUACCAAAACAUUUUAGGGUAAUGAUUCUAAUCCAUUUCCAGCAACUCAAGUCGAAAUUCUGCACUCUGUCGACCCUACUCGCCGAGUGCAUAAACCUACUCGCCGAGUAGGUUGAAGAUACACAUGAACUCGACGAGUCCUCCCCAUGGACUCGCCGAGUCCAUCAGUCAGACAGCAAGAUUUUCGACUUUCUUCAACUUUUAAGCACAAAUAACAAACAAACAAGCCUAGGCUCUGAUACCACUGAUGGGUUUUGAGCAUUCUAACACUUCCUAAGUGUACAUGCAACCCUAAUAACCUUGGAUCUAUGUUUGUCUAAUUAUCAUGCAAAGUUGAAUUCCAAGGUUAUAUUCCUAUCUAGCAUACAUGGGGAACAAUUUUAACUUGAAUCAUAGAUAGAAUAACUUACCUUGUUGUUGCUUGUGUUCCUUGAAACCUUGUGAGCCUAGCACCCCAAGUGUGAUGCCUCAAAUGCUUCACACAACACCAAAUGCUCUUGGAAAGACUCUUGAGAUAACACACACUUCUCAAAAUCGGCCAAGCCCUCUAGUUUCUUAGUGUAGCCGAUUUUGGUGGAGAAUAUGAUUCUUAUAUAGUGUUGACACAUCUAGGGUUACACCAUGUAAACCCUAAUGUGUCAUGACUCUUCAUUUCCAUGACCCAUGGGUUUGUAACUCCCAUGGAGCAUCCAUGGAGCAUCCUAUGGGUAGAACCCAACUUGAUAAUCCAUGGAGCCUCUUAGCCCACUAUACAAGAUAUGGAUGAUUUACAUAAUCAACCCAUAUAUUUAAUUAGUUAUCCUUUGAUCACUUAAUUAAUUCCAAAUUAAUUCUUUGAUCAACUAAUCAAAUAAUAUUAUUAAUAUAUUAGAACUUAUAAUAUAUUAAUAAUCUCCAAGUGUUAUUUCUCUCAUUUAGUCUAUCCAAUUGCAUGGUGCCAUGCAACCCAAAUGGACCAUGCCGGGUCGGGUCAAGUACAAGCCCGAAAUAGUUAUGGACUUAGACACCUUAUCCAACAGUCUCCCACUUGGAUAAGUCUAAUAACUAUAUCUCUAGUACUUCAGGAACCGACCGGCAAUCGUAGCUCUUUCAAGGUCUCUCGGAACUGAGAAGAUGAUGGUACGCCAUUUAAGAUAAGUGAUCAUAUAAUCCUCCGUUCUAGAUAUCAGCCGGACAAAUACAUGGAACAUUGUCUUGCUUAUUGUCCAGCAUUUGUUUCCCGAUUUCCGAUUUGUUUGACAUAGAACUUAAUUGAACACAUCAACUUAGUUCUGACCGGGCCCGGUACAUGGGUCAAAACAAAAUCAUCGAGGGGCCCAGAUAUCAGCUUCUAAUCCAAGAAGGAACAGAUAAACUUCGACUCAUAUGUUUGUUCUACCACUCAUUGAAUUACACACAAAAGUACGUUUUAUAACAUCGAGUUACCAAUGCGGUUUCGUACAGUCAAUGCAUAACCAACUUGUAAGUAACAAAUCAUAUCUCUAGGUUUGAAGACUUAUAUGAUAUUACCGUCUCACGAUCACUCGAGAUAGAAUUCCAUGAAGUGAUUCCAGUGAGCGUGGGUUGAGUCCAAUGCUCAGAACUUAUGAGCACUCAUGAUUGUUGUAGCCUUGUCCAACACCUUAGACCUCUGCAACCAAUCAUGACAGUCUUGAUUCAUACCUACUUCCGACAUAUGACCGACUGUGGAGGUUUGAAUAAUAUGAUAUACCAAACAUAAUUAUUCUGGAAGUUAAAACAUGCAAAAGAAAUAUAGUAAACGAUCGACAUGAGAUAGCAACACUUUACUCAUAAAUAAAACACCUUUUAUUCAUCAUCUAAUCUCAAUUACACUUUACAAAUUUCAAGGUUAUAUGACUACUAAAUCUAAUAUAAUCCUUCAGCCCUAUGCUCCGAGCAUGCUGGAGAGGCUUAACCCGAUUCAGUCCCUUUGUGAGGGGAUCUGCUGGAUUCUCAUCCGAUGAUACCCUCUUUGCCACGAGGAGUCCUUAUUCUAUUCGAUGUCUGAUGAAAUGGUAUUUUCUGUAGAUGUGUCUGGAUCUCCCGUGAUCCCUUGGUUCCCUGGCUAAGGCAACAGCACUUUCACUAUCACAGAAAAUUUCCAUUGGCUCUUUAAUAGCUGGUACAACUCCAAGGUCUCCAAUGAAGUUCUUCAGCCAUAUCGCCUCCUUUGUUGCCUCACUCGCUGCUAUAUACACUAAUUCGCAAGUUGAAUCAGCCACCGUUUCUUGCUUGGAACUCUUCCAAGAAAUUGCUCCUCCGUUUAAGGUAAAGACCCAUCCCGACUGAGAGCCGAAAUUAUCACUAUCAGUCUGAAAGCUAGCAUCACUAUACCCUACAACUCUCAAGUCAUCACUCCCACUGAGGGUAAGGACCCAGUCCUUAGUCCUCCGUAGGUACUUGAGGAUAUUCUUUACCGUAGUCCAGUGUGCCUUGCCAUGGUUCCCCUGAUACCUGCUAACCAUGCUCAAGGCAAAAGCUACAUCGGGUCGAGUACACGUCAUAGCAUACAUGAUCGAUCCUACAGCCGAAGCGUAAGGUGUUCGACUCAUUUCUGCUAUCUCAGCCUCAGUGCUAGGGCUUUGUGUCUUACUCAAUCUGGUGUUACUCUGGAUGGGUAACUCUCCUUUCUUGGAAUCCUGCAUGCUGAAUCUCUUCAGCACCUUAUCCAAGUAGGUACUCUGACUAAGUCCAAUUAGUCUUUUACUCCGAUCUCUCAAGAUCCUUAUCCCUAAAAUAUAGGCAGCUUCACCAAGGUCCUUCAUAGCGAAACACUUCCCAAGCCAGGACUUUACUUCCUGCAGGGUUGGAAUGUCGUUUCCUAUGAGUAGUAUGUCAUCCACAUACAAUACCAAAAAGCUAACUAUACUCCCACUAGCCUUGACAUACACACAAGAUUCAUCUUCACUCCUAGAAAAGCCAAAUUCCUUGACCUUUUCAUCAAAGCAAAGAUUCCAUCUGCGAGGUGCUUGCUUCAAUCCAUAAAUGGAUUUCUCAAGCUUACACACUCUAUUAGGGUACUCGUUGCUGACAAAACCCUCUGGCUGACUCAUGUAAACAUCUUCAGCCAACUUUCCAUUAAGGAAAGCGGUUUUGACAUCCAUCUGCCAUAUUUCAUAGUCAUGAAAUGCAGCUAUGGCUAACAGAACCCGAAUAGACUUAAUCUUGGCUACNNNNNNNNNNNNNNNNNNNNNNNNNNNNNNNNNNNNNNNNNNNNNNNNNNNNNNNNNNNNNNNNNNNNNNNNNNNNNNNNNNNNNNNNNNNNNNNNNNNNNNNUGUCUUACGACCUGGUACAUUCUCAACCAAGUUCCAAACUUGAUUGUCAUACAUGGACUGUAUCUCGCUGUCCAUUGCCUCUUUCCACUUGGCUGACUCAGGGCCUGCCAUGGCUUCCGCGUAACUGUUAGGUGCAUCCAGGCCUAUAAGUGUCUCAUCACUGAUAAGUGUAUCACCUUCCGUAGUAAUAUGGAAUCCAUAGUAAUGCUCAGGUGCAUUCCUAACCCUUGUGGUACGCCUCAGAGGUACAGAUUUGUUAAUUGGCUCAACAGGAGUUUCCUCCUCAAGUUGAGUGCUAGGGUUUGAAGUUCCUUCGCCACACGACUCUUGAAUUUCUUCAAGGUCAACUUGCCUCCCACUGUUUCCUUGGCUUAUGAACUCUCUCUCUCUCUCUCGAAAGACAGCCCUCCUAGCUACAAAGACCACAUUUUCACUAGGUCUGUAGAAGAGGUAACCAAAGGAUUGUUGUGGGUAGCCGAUGAAAAUACACCUCUCGCUUCGAGGUUCGAGCUUAUCAUGAGUCUCGCGUCUCACGAAAGCCUCGCAACCCCAAAUCUUGAUGUGGUCUAGUUUGGGUACUUUACCAGUCCACAUCUCUUGAGGAGUUUUGGCAACUUUCUUUGUAGGGACUAGAUUAAGGAUAUGGGCAGCAGUCUCUAAGGCAUACCCCCAAAAUAAGAAGUUCGACUCAUCAUGGAACGAACCAUAUCCAACAAAGUUCGAUUACUCCUCUCAGCUACACAAUUCAACUGCAGUGUCCUGGGAAUUGUCAAUUGUGAGACAAUCCCACAUUCCCUAAGAUAGUCGAGGAACUAUGAACUAAGAUACUCACCAGCUCGAUCGGAUCGAAGCAUAUUAAUGUUCCUGCCCAAUUGAUUCUCGACUUCCUGUUUAAAUUCUUUAAGCCUUUCAAAAGUCUCUGACUUAUACUUGAUUAACUAGACAUAUCCAUAUCCACUGUAAUCAACAGUAAAAGUCAAAUAAUAAUGAUUAGCAUCCCUUGUGGCAUGUUUGAGGGGUCCAGACACAUCCGUGUCUAUAAGAUCCAACAAACCUUCACCCUUCUCACAAGAACCUGUGAAGGGUGACUUUGUCAUUUUUCCAAGUAAGCAUGAUUCGAAACUAUCAUCUGACUUUAGGUCAAAUGACUCCAAGACUCCAUCCUUUUGGAGUUGGCCUAUGCAUUUCUUGCUUAUAUGUCCAAGACGACAAUGCCAUAAUGAUGCUUUAUCCAAGUUAUUAUUAUUAACAGAAUCAAUACACAAUACAUUAUUUCCUAAGUUAUCAACCACAGAUACUGUUUCAUACACGCCAUCACAAGGUAAUGCUUUAAAAUAAAGAACAUUAUUAAAGAAAGCAUUAAUCGAACCAACUUCAUUAUCAAAUGAAAAGGUGAAACCUUGUUUAUACAAUGCAUGAAAGGAAAUAAUAUUUCUUGCCAUUUCUGGCGAAUAACAACAUUUAUUCAAAUCUAAACUAAACCCACUACUUAGCGAUAAAGUAUAAACUCCAAUCUUGGUGACAGGUAUAACUUUCCUAUUCCCCAUGAUUAAGUUUAUUCUUCAAUGCUC
rnacentral:lncRNA from 1 species